rnacentral:rRNA from 1 species
AUUGAACGCUGGCGGAAUGCUUUACACAUGCAAGUCGAACGGCAGCACGGACUUCGGUCUGGUGGCGAGUGGCGAACGGGUGAGUAAUGCAUCGGAACGUGCCCAAUCGUGGGGGAUAACGUAGCGAAAGUUACGCUAAUACCGCAUACGAUCUAAGGAUGAAAGCGGGGGAUCGCAAGACCUCGCGCGAAUGGAGCGGCCGAUGUUAGAUUAGGUAGUUGGUGGGGUAAAGGCUCACCAAGCCGACGAUCUAUAGCUGGUCUGAGAGGAUGACAGGCCACGCGGGGACGGAGACCCGCCCCGGACUCCUACGGGGGGAAGCGGGGGGGAUUUUGGGCAAAGGGGCGCAGGCCGAUCCCAGCCAUCCCGCGGGAGGAUGAAGGGCCCUGGGUUUGUAACCGGCUUUGUUCAAGACCGAAAAGCUUUGGUUUAAACCCCGGGGGUAAGGACGUUAUGGAAAGAUAAGCACCGGCUAACUACGUGCCAGCCGCCGCCGUAACAC